GACAGAGGGGGCAAGCGUUGCUCGGAAUUACUGGGCGUAAAGGGUGCGUAGGCGGUCCGCUAAGUUGGAUGUGAAAACUCUGGGCUUAACCCAGAGCCUGCAUUCAAAACUGACGGGCUAGAGUUCUGGAGGGGGUAGCGGAAUUCCUGGUGUAGCGGUGAAAUGCGUAGAUAUCAGGAGGAACACCGGUGGCGAAGGCGGCUACCUGGACAGAAACUGACGCUGAGUGCACGAAAGCUAGGG
rnacentral:rRNA from 1 species